UACCCGCGGCCCGAGUGGUGCUUGAUAUUAUUGAGCCUAAAACGCCCGUAGCCGGUCUUGUAAAUCCAUGGGUAAAUCGAACAGCUCAACUGUUCGAAGUCCGCGGAGACUGCAAGACUUGGGACUGGGAGAGGUCAGAGGUACUUCUGGGGUAGGGGUAAAAUCCUGUAAUCCUGGAAGGACCACCAGUGGCGAAGGCGUCUGACUAGAACAGAUCCGACGGUGAGGGACGAAGCCCUGGGGCGCAAACGGG
rnacentral:rRNA from 1 species